rnacentral:lncRNA from 1 species
GCAAAUUCAACUGGGAUUUCUUGAGGAAACAGCCAUUACCUGGACUCUGUAACCCUGCCGCUGGAUGCCUAGUGAAGUCAUUUGACACGGACAGUGUGUGGAGGCAAGGAGGUAAGAAAUGAAUGGUUGUUAAGUUGAAUCGAACAACCCACUCCCACUGCAGGUCUCUAAAUCUCCAGCUGAGCUACGAUGACACAGAAGCUCAUCCCGACACAGUAGAUUCUUUUGUGUUUAUCGACUCUGCACAUGAGUGUGAAGACGACAAGUAAUGUCACUGUGUUCGGUUAUUACCUUCUCCUCCAAGAGGCAGCAAGAAGGAAGACUUAGCUCACCAGCCCGGGUCCAAACAACAAGAAAAAAUAUUUCAGGAGAGGAAGAUCCCAGACCUUGGAAAUAGCCAUUUUUGAUCCCCAGAAAGAAGAAAUCCUGAAUUAACAAAGAAGAGGCUUAGGGCUCAGGUCUCUGAAGUCACUUGCUCAGGGACCCUGGCGAUGGAGACCUGGGAGGGAGAUUAUAGAAAGACUCAAGGUUUCCGGAGUUUGGACUGCUUAUGUAAACUUGGUGAGACAGCUACUGACCCCAAGGUCACCGUGACACCCCCUUUCGCAAAACACUGCUCUCUAGGUACAACAUCUUUACUAUUUUGGGUAAUUUUUCUUUAUCUACCGGAAUCUCCAUGGAGGCCCUUUCUCUCUCAUUUCUCUCCUGUGUAAGUGAAAUAAAGAGUUAGAAUCUAUAACUUCACAGGCCUUGAAAUUCUAUUUUUGUUCAUACUGCCACAGUGAAAUGAUUUCUGAAUUUUCUGUUGCUUUCCCUUCAGCCAUGAGUUUCAUUUGCCAAGUAUCUGAACAGCAGAGGAUUCGAUUCUGUGCGCCGAUACAUUUGUGUUUAGUAGGCACAGAUCUCUCUCGAUAACCAUCCUUUCUUCACACUAGUGGCUUUUAAACCGUUCAGGAUUUUAGAAAUACCAUAAUCUCAGCAUAUUAAAUAUUAAGGGACUCCUUCAGAUUCCCAGAGCCUUAAAGGGAUGCUAUUCAAAUCGGUAAGAGCGCGUUUCCAUGGUGCAGAAUCGAAGUUACGCAGGGCUUCUUCAAGCAGCAGGACUAUAAGCGUCACUCCCGCCGCUGCCUUUCACAAGGGCCCACUUGUUGGGAAAUAUUUGGAAAACAGAGCUGAAGUGGAGAUAACGCAGAGCGCAAACAGGCGGAAAUAAGAAUAAACGGAGCGUGGCUGGCAGAAACCGAGAGCUUGGCAGUUUCUGCAAAGGAAGAGAAGGCUUG